rnacentral:tRNA from 1 species
CGGGGUGUGGCGCAGCCUGGCUAGCGCAUCUGGUUUGGGACCAGAGGGUCGUAGGUUCGAAUCCUAUCACCCCGAC